rnacentral:rRNA from 1 species
GACGAACGCUGGCGGCGUGCCUAAUACAUGCAAGUAGAACGCACAGUUUAUACCGUAGCUUGCUCCACCAUAAACUGUGAGUUGCGAACGGGUGAGUAACGCGUAGGUAACCUGCCUGGUAGCGGGGGAUAACUAUUGGAAACGAUAGCUAAUACCGCAUAAUAUUAAUUAUUGCAUGAUAAUUGAUUGAAAGAUGCAAUUGCAUCACUACCAGAUGGACCUGCGUUGUAUUAGCUAGUAGGUGAGGUAACGGCUCACCUAGGCGACGAUACAUAGCCGACCUGAGAGGGUGAUCGGCCACACUGGGACUGAGACACGGCCCAGACUCCUACGGGAGGCAGCAGUAGGGAAUCUUCGGCAAUGGACGAAAGUCUGACCGAGCAACGCCGCGUGAGUGAAGAAGGUUUUCGGAUCGUAAAGCUCUGUUGUAAGAGAAGAACGGGUGUGAGAGUGGAAAGUUCACACUGUGACGGUAUCUUACCAGAAAGGGACGGCUAACUACG